rnacentral:rRNA from 1 species
AACGAACGCUGGCGGCAGGCCUAACACAUGCAAGUCGAGCGAGGACUUCGGUCCUAGCGGCGGACGGGUGAGUAACGCGUGGGAACGUGCCCUUUGCUUCGGAAUAGCCCUGGGAAACUGGGAGUAAUACCGGAUGAGCCCUUUGGGGGAAAGAUUUAUCGGCGAAGGAUCGGCCCGCGUUGGAUUAGGUAGUUGGUGGGGUAAUGGCCUACCAAGCCGACGAUCCAUAGCUGGCUUGAGAGGAUGAUCAGCCACACUGGGACUGAGACACGGCCCAGACUCCUACGGGAGGCAGCAGUGGGGAAUCUUAGACCAUGGGGGAAACCCUGAUCGAGCCAUGCCGCGUGAGCGAUGAAGGCCUUAGGGUUGUAAAGCUCUUUCAGCUGGGAAGAUAAUGACGGUACCAGCAGAAGAAGCCCCGGCUAACUCCGUG